CCCCUAGAUGUUCUGGGCCGCACGCGCGCUACACUGAACAGUUCAACAAGUCUUAACCUUGGCCGAUAGGUCUGGGUAAUCUUUGAACGCUGUUCGUGAUUGGGAUAGACCUUUGCAAUUAUGGGUCUUCAACGAGGAAUUCCUAGUAAGCGCAAGUCAUCAGCUUGCGUUGAUUACGUCCCUGCCCUUUGUACACACCGCCCGUCGCUCCUACCGAUUGAAUGGUCCGGUGAAGCGUUCGGACCGUGGCCUUUGGACGGUUCGCCGUCUGUUGGCUGCGGGAAGUUCGUUAAACCUUAUCAUUUAGAGGAAGGAGAANUCGUANCA
rnacentral:rRNA from 1 species